CCUACGGGAGGCUGCAGUGGGGAAUAUUGGACAAUGGGCGAAAGCCUGAUCCAGCCAUGCCGCGUGUGUGAAGAAGGCCUUCGGGUUGUAAAGCACUUUCAGUGGGGAAGAAAGCCUUGGGGCUAAUACCCUCGAGGAAGGACAUCACCCACAGAAGAAGCACCGGCUAACUCCGUGCCAGCAGCCGCGGUAAUACGGAGGGUGCGAGCGUUAAUCGGAAUUACUGGGCGUAAAGCGCGCGUAGGCGGUCUGAUAAGCCGGUUGUGAAAGCCCCGGGCUCAACCUGGGAACGGCAUCCGGAACUGGCAGGGUAGAGUGCAGGAGAGGAAGGUAGAAUUCCCGGUGUAGCGGUGAAAUGCGUAGAGAUCGGGAGGAAUACCAGUGGCGAAGGCGGCCUUCUGGACUGACACUGACGCUGAGGGGCGAAAGCGUGGGUAGCAAACAGGAUUAGAUUACCCCGGUAGUC
rnacentral:rRNA from 1 species